UACGUAGGUAGCGAGCGUUGUUCGGAUUUAUUGGGCGUAAAGGGUCCGCAGGGGGCCGACUAAGUCUGAUGUGAAAUACCAAGGCUCAACCUUGGAACUGCAUUGGAAACUAGACGGCUAGAGCAUCGGAGAGGAGAAUGGAAUUCCAGGUGUAGCGGUGGAAUGCGUAGAUAUCUGGAAGAACACCGAAGGCGAAGGCAGUUCUCUGGACGAUUGCUGACCCUCAGGGACGAAAGCAUGGGGAG
rnacentral:rRNA from 1 species